rnacentral:rRNA from 1 species
AGAGUUUGAUCCUGGCUCAGGAUGAACGCUGGCGGCGUGCUUAACACAUGCAAGUCGAACGAUGACUUCUGUGCUUGCACAGAAUGAUUAGUGGCGAACGGGUGAGUAACACGUGAGUAACCUGCCCUUGACUUCGGGAUAAGCCUGGGAAACCGGGUCUAAUACCGGAUACGACCUCCUGGCGCAUGCCAUGGGGGUGGAAAGCUUUAUUGCGGUUUUGGAUGGACUCGCGGCCUAUCAGCUUGUUGGUUGGGGUAAUGGCCCACCAAGGCGACGACGGGUAGCCGGCCUGAGAGGGUGACCGGCCACACUGGGACUGAGACACGGCCCAGACUCCUACGGGAGGCAGCAGUGGGGAAUAUUGCACAAUGGGCGAAAGCCUGAUGCAGCGACGCCGCGUGAGGGAUGACGGCCUUCGGGUUGUAAACCUCUUUCAGCAGGGAAGAAGCGAAAGUGACGGUACCUGCAGAAGAAGCGCCGGCUAACUACGUGCCAGCAGCCGCGGUAAUACGUAGGGCGCAAGCGUUAUCCGGAAUUAUUGGGCGUAAAGAGCUCGUAGGCGGUUUGUCGCGUCUGCUGUGAAAGCCCGGGGCUCAACCCCGGGUCUGCAGUGGGUACGGGCAGACUAGAGUGAUGUAGGGGAGACUGGAAUUCCUGGUGUAGCGGUGAAAUGCGCAGAUAUCAGGAGGAACACCGAUGGCGAAGGCAGGUCUCUGGGCAUUAACUGACGCUGAGGAGCGAAAGCAUGGGGAGCGAACAGGAUUAGAUACCCUGGUAGUCCAUGCCGUAAACGUUGGGCACUAGUGUGGGGGACAUUCCACGUUUUCCGCGCCGUAGCUAACGCAUUAAGUGCCCCGCCUGGGGAGUA